AUUGAACGCUGGCGGCAGGCCUAACACAUGCAAGUCGAGCGCGAAAGGCCUUCGGGUUGAGUAGAGCGGCGGACGGGUGAGUAACGCGUAGGAAUCUACCUGGUAGUGGGGGACAACUUGUGGAAACGCAAGCUAAUACCGCAUACGACCUAAGGGUGAAAGUGGGGGACCUUCGGGCCUCACGCUAUCGGAUGAGCCUGCGUAGGAUUAGCUUGUUGGUGAGGUAAAGGCUCACCAAGGCGACGAUCCUUAGCUGGUCUGAGAGGAUGAUCAGCCACACUGGAACUGAGACACGGUCCAGACUCCUACGGGAGGCAGCAGUGGGGAAUAUUGCGCAAUGGGCGAAAGCCUGACGCAGCCAUGCCGCGUGUGUGAAGAAGGCCUCGGUUGUAAGACACUUCAAUCGUGAAGAAAGUUAGCAGGCUAAUACCCUGUGACCUUGACGUUAACGAUACAAGAAG
rnacentral:rRNA from 1 species